rnacentral:lncRNA from 1 species
AUGGCGGAGGUCAAACAUUCUCACAGACCCAUCAGCGCCCACAGAGGCAAACAUGUCCCUGCCCCCUCCAGCCCGGCUGAAGGCGAUGUCAUAGACCUGUUGGGGAGAAGGUCCAGAUUCAGCUCACAGCGUGGACAGCUGUCAUUUCCAGACCAUCUGAACCCCAACUCACCACACAAGCAGAGGGCAACUGGAGGUAUGGCUUGGUGUUUAAGAGUACUUGUUGCUCUUGUUGAAGACCCAGGUUCAGCUACGAGUGAUCUGUAACUCUGGAAUGGAGGAUGACACCCCCUUCUGGCCUUCUCAUACUAUACACACAUGUGGUACAAGGACAUACAUACAGGCAAACACCCAUACACAUAAAGUAAAAAUAAAUAAAUCUUAAAAAAUAAAA